rnacentral:rRNA from 1 species
AUCAGUGGCCAUAGCAAAGGGGAUCACCUGAUACCAUUCCGAACUCAGUAGUUAAGCCCUUUAGCGCCGAAGAUACCAGAGAUGGGAAAAUAGGGAGCUACUUUUU